CCUACGGGGGGCAGCAGUAGGGAAUCUUCCACAAUGGGCGAAAGCCUGAUGGAGCAACGUCGCGUGGGUGAAGAAGGUCUUCGGAUCGUAAAACUCUUUUGUUAGAGAAGUAAGUGCGUGAGAGUAACUGUUCACGUUUCGACGGUAUCUAUCCGGAAAGCCACGGCUCACUACGUGCCAGCAGCUGCGGUAAUACGUAGGUGGCAUGCGUUAUCCGGAUUUGUUGGGAGUAAGGGGAACGCAGGCGGUCUUUUAAGUCUGAUGUGAAAGUCUUCGGCUUAACCGGAGUAGUGCAUUGGAGACUGGGAGACUUGAGUACAGAAGAGGAGGGUGGAACUCGAGGUGUAGCGGUGAAAUGCUUAGAUAUAUCGAAGAACACCAAUGGCGAAAGCAGCUCACUGGUCUGUAACUGACGCUGAGGUUCGAAAGCGUGGGUAGCAAACAGGAUUAGAUACCCUAGUAGUC
rnacentral:rRNA from 1 species